UAAUGGGUACAACAAGGACUGGUCGGCUCGGAGUCAUGCUUAACUGCUGCAUGGUAACUCAUUGAGCUAGCACUAUUAAACCAGCUUAAGUCUGUGCUAGUACAAGCAGCCACACAUACACACGCAUGCCCGUCGUCAUAUGAGCGAAAUAUGUUUAAGUACGACAUUAAACCCCA